GACGAACGCUGGCGGCGUGCUUAACACAUGCAAGUCGAACGCUGAAGACCUGGCUUUUGUUGGGUUGGAUGAGUGGCGAACGGGUGAGUAACACGUGAGUAACCUGCCCUCUUCUUUGGGAUAACGCCCGGAAACGGGUGCUAAUACUGGAUAUUCACUGAUCUUCGCAUGGGGGUUGGUGGAAAGGUUUGUUCUGGUGGGGGAUGGGCUCGCGGCCUAUCAGCUUGUUGGUAGGGUGAUGGCCUACCAAGGCUUUGACGGGUAGCCGGCCUGAGAGGGUGACCGGUCACAUUGGGACUGAGAUACGGCCCAGACUCCUACGGGAGGCAGCAGUGGGGAAUAUUGCACAAUGGGCGAAAGCCUGAUGCAGCGACGCCGCGUGAGGGAUGGAGGCCUUCGGGUUGUAAACCUCUUUCGCUCAUGGUCAAGCCGCAACUGUGGGUUGUGGUGAGGGUAGUGGGUAAAGAAGCGCCGGCUAACUACGUG
rnacentral:rRNA from 1 species